rnacentral:tRNA from 1 species
ACGUUUUAAGUAUAGAAAUAUAUUUGGCUUCCAACUAAAAGACCUUGGCUUAAUAUCCCAAGAUAACGUA